GUUUGUUUGGAGUUAUAAAGAAUUUGACCUGCCCCCUGACUAAUAAUUAAAGGGCCGCAGUACUAUAACUGUGCAAAGGUAGCAUAAUCAUUAGGUUUUUAAUUGGAAUCUUGCAUGAAUGGUCGGACAAGAGAAAGACUCUCUUUAUAUUAAAUUUUGAAUUUAACUUUUAAGUGAAAAGGCUUAAAUAUUCUAAAGGGACGAUAAGACCCUAUAAAACUUUACAUUGAAAUUAAUUUUGAUUGAAUUUGUAAAAUAAGAAUUUUAUUUGAUUAUUUGUUAUGUUGGGGAGAUAUAAGUAAAAUAAUAUUUUAACUGCUUAAUAAUUAUACAAUUAUUAGUGAGUAAUAGAAGAUCCUUUUUAAAGAUUAGUAGAUCAAGUUACUUUAGGGAUAACAGCGUAAUUUCUUUUGAGAGUUCUUAUCGAAAAAGGAGGUUGCGACCUCGAUGUUGAAUUAAAAUAUCUAUAUAAUGGAGAGGUUAUAUAAGAAGGUCUGUUCGACCUUGAAAUUUUUACAUGAUUUGAGUUCAGACCGGUGUGAG
rnacentral:rRNA from 1 species